GCUUUCACCUUAGCAGCUUCCUCUCCCUCCCUCUUUCUUGUUUAAUUGUCUUUUUCUUCCUUCAACUUUUUGAAGCCCCUUUUUUUACCUCUUCAAUAGUUCAAUUCUUCACCUUCCAUCAACUACAUGCAAUCCUAUACAACCACAGAGUGAUGGAGGGUGGAACAUCUAGUACCCACAAUGACAAACCCGAGUCUCCAACCACAAGUAAUACCAAUGCACUUCCUCCAAAGUGUCCUAAAAGAAACAAAUCUGAAGUUUGGGAUCACUUUUCGAUGAUGGGUGAUUGAGAUCCUAAUCACCCUAGAGCAUCAUGUAAUUACCAUGGUAAAGAUUAUGGGUGUUGUGGGAAAAGGGAUGAGACUAGUAAUUUAUGGAAUCAUCUUUAUAAUCAGUGCCCCACAUUUUUAAGGAACUUGGCUUAGGUUGCUACUUGCUUUGGAGGAAUUUAGCUUCAUUUUUGGAGUGGUAUCAGACUUAAAGUUGAUUGAUUUGGUCUAUUUUGUGAAGAACUUUUGUUAGACUUGUGUUUAUUUUCAGUGAGUUUAAUUUUGAUUACAUUGUGGCUUUUGUGACAAUGCAUACGAUUUUGAAGUUUAUUUACUAGGUUCGUAUGUUAUUAUUUUGAAUCCUUGAUGUGAUUUUGGGAAUGUUAAGACUUUCGGUUUAUUGAUUUAAUUUUCCUCAAUUGUAAGGUAGUAGCUUACUGUUUUUUUUUUUUCUCUUCCCCUUUUUUCUUUUUUUGAGUAGACAAUGUCUGAUAGAGAUGAUAUAUCUCUUUUUC